UACGGGGGGGCAAGCGUUGUUCGGAAUUACUGGGCGUAAAGGGCUCGUAGGUGGCCAACUAAGUCAGACGUGAAAUCCCUCGGCUUAACCGGGGAACUGCGUCUGAUACUGGAUGGCUUGAGUUCGGGAGAGGGAUGCGGAAUUCCAGGUGUAGCGGUGAAAUGCGUAGAUAUCUGGAGGAACACCGGUGGCGAAGGCGGCAUCCUGGACCGACACUGACACUGAGGAGCGAAAGCCAGGGGAGCGAAACGGG
rnacentral:rRNA from 1 species